GCAAGCGCCGUUAUUUUCGACGUUCGCCGUCGCGUCGCUCUCCGACGAGAGAACCACCACCUGUGAGAGUCGCCUAUGCACGACUUGUUGUUGUUGUUUGGAAAUUGCCUGGUUUUCUUUCGGGAAAUUCGCACGUUUUCCUAAAGAAAUUCGUCGGGUGAGUGACGUACGGGCGUGCAGUGUACGUUGUACUACUAGAGUGUACAGUUUUCAAUUGGAAAUAACACGGGGGUGUGGAGAAAGUGGAAGAAGUAGAAAAAUGGCUAAAAAUUCAGAGAUUUGAGGAAUUCAUUCCAAGGACUUUUUGGAGGCCGUAGAUAAAGUGUCUGUGUUUAAAAAAAAAUGUGCUGUUGAUGAUCAGUCAAUAAAAGACAUUGUGGCCACCACUACUGGUCAGGUUUCAAAUGAAAAAUGGUAUCUGGUGAGAAAAUUUCGUUUGACUGCUAGCAACUUUGGUGCUAUUAUUGCAGCAUGUCGGAGAAACAGAUUCCCAGUGAGUUUGUUCAAGAUGCUCUUGGGUGAAUACAAUUUGGAUGAUAUCAAAGCAAUCCAGUGGGGUAGAACCCAUGAAAAAGAUGCUCUAAACCAUUUAAAGGAGUAUUAUAAUUUAAAUGUUGGUAAUUUAAAAAAACAACUGGAGUAUGGCAUUCAAAUUCAGGGUUUCUUGGUGCCAGCCCUGAUGGAUUAAUUGAUGAAGAAGAAGCUCUUGUGGAAGUAAAAUGCCCAUAUUCUUUUAGAAAUGAUCAGUUGUCCGAAAAAUUGAGGAAUAAUACUAAAUAUAUAAUUUUCUAUGACAAUGAGGGUAAUUUGGUAUUAAAUACAAGCCACGAAUAUUAUCACCAAAUUCAAGGUGCUUUACAUAUUUUAAAAAAGAAAAUAUGUUACUUAUGUAUUUAUACUUUGAAAGAAACAAUUGUGACAAUUGUAGAGAUUGACGAUUCAUGGAAAGAAAACCUUUUACUCUUGGAACAUUUUUAUAUAGAACAAUACUUACCAAAGUUGUUAGAAAAUUAGUAACUUGUGACACGUUGUUAUAAUUUUAUUUGCAUUGUAUGUACUAUAUGUGUAAUUUUUUUUCUGUAGAUGUAA